rnacentral:tRNA from 1 species
GCGGCCGUUGUCUAGAACUUGGUUAGGACAUCGGCUUCCCAAGCCGAUAACCCGGGUUCGAAUCCCGGCGGCCGCACCA